rnacentral:rRNA from 1 species
CCUACGGGAGGCAGCAGUGGGGAAUAUUGGGCAAUGGAGGAAACUCUGACCCAGCAACGCCGCGUGAAUGAUGAAGGUCUUCGGUUUGUAAAGUUCUUUUCUAAGGGAAGAAGAAAGUGACGGUACCUUAGGAAUAAGCCUCGGCUAACUACGUGCCAGCAGCCGCGGUAAUAAGUAGGAGGCGAGCGUUAGCCCGAAUGACGGGGCGAAAAGGGAGCGUAGAGGGUUUGGCAAGUUAGUAGCGUAACUCCAAGGCUCAACCUUGGAACUACUACUAAAACUGAUCGACUUGAGUGCAGGAGAGGCAACCGGAAUUCCUAGUGUAGCGGUGGAAUGCGUAGAUAUUAGGAGGAACACCAGUGGCGAAGGCGGGUUGCUAGACUGUAACUGACACUGAGGCACGAAAGCGUGGGGAGCAAACAGGAUUAGAUACCCUUGUAGUC